rnacentral:rRNA from 1 species
GACGAACGCUGGCGGCGUGCCUAAUACAUGCAAGUAGAACGCUGAAGGAGGAGCUUGCUUCUCUGGAUGAGUUGCGAACGGGUGAGUAACGCGUAGGUAACCUGCCUGGUAGCGGGGGAUAACUAUUGGAAACGAUAGCUAAUACCGCAUAAUAGCAGUUGUUGCAUGACAACUGUUUGAAAGGUGCAAAUGCAUCACUACCAGAUGGACCUGCGUUGUAUUAGCUAGUUGGUGGGGUAAAGGCUCACCAAGGCGACGAUACAUAGCCGACCUGAGAGGGGGGGCAGCCAACCGGGGACUAGGACCCGGCACAGACUCCAUCGGGAGGCAGCAGUGGGGAAUCUUCGGCAAUGGACGGAAGUCUGACCGGGCAACGCCGCGUGAGUGAAGAAGGUUUUCGGAUCGUAAAGCUCUGUGGUAAGAGAAGAACGAGUGUGAGAGUGGAAAGCUCACACUGUGACGGUAUCUUACCAGAAAGGGACGGCUAACUACGUG